rnacentral:rRNA from 1 species
CCUACGGGAGGCUGCAGUGGGGAAUAUUGGACAAUGGGGGGAACCCUGAUCCAGCCAUGCCGCGUGUGUGAAGAAGGCCCUCGGGUUGUAAAGCACUUUCAGUGAGGAAGAACGCCUGGUGGUUAAUACCCAUCAGGAAAGACAUCACUCACAGAAGAAGCACCGGCUAACUCCGUGCCAGCAGCCGCGGUAAUACGGAGGGUGCGAGCGUUAAUCGGAAUUACUGGGCGUAAAGCGCGCGUAGGUGGCUUGAUAAGCCGGUUGUGAAAGCCCCGGGCUCAACCUGGGAACGGCAUCCGGAACUGUCAAGCUAGAGUGCAGGAGAGGAAGGUAGAAUUCCCGGUGUAGCGGUGAAAUGCGUAGAGAUCGGGAGGAAUACCAGUGGCGAAGGCGGCCUUCUGGACUGACACUGACACUGAGGUGCGAAAGCGUGGGUAGCAAACAGGAUUAGAUACCCCAGUAGUC